CCUACGGGAUGCAGCAGUGGGGGAUAUUGCACAAUGGGGGGAACCCUGAUGCAGCGACGCCGCGUGUGGGAAGACGGUCCUCUGGAUUGUAAACCACUGUCCCCAGGGACGAAAAUGACGGUACCUGGGGAGGAAGCUCCGGCUAACUACGUGCCAGCAGCCGCGGUAAUACGGAGGGAGCGAGCGUUGUCGUGAAUUACUGGGUGUAAAGGGAGCGUAGGCGGGGAUGCAAGUUGGGUGUCAAAACUACCGGCUCAACUGGUAGUCGCACUCAAAACUGCAGCUAUUGAGUGAAGUAGAGGCUGGCGGAAUGCCUAGUGUAGCGGUGAAAUGCGUAGAGAUUAGGAGGAACACCAGUGGCGAAGGCGGCCUGCUGGGCUUUUACUGACGCUGAGGCUCGAAAGUGUGGGGAGCAAACAGGAUUAGAUACCCUUGUAGUC
rnacentral:rRNA from 1 species